AAAAAAAAAAAAAAAAAAAAAACACCCCCCCCCUUUUUUUUUUUUUUUUUUUUUUUUUUUUUUUUAAGGGUUACAGUGUUUAUUGUACCUUAAUUAGCGGCCUUCUUGAUUUCUUCAAGA
rnacentral:ribozyme from 16 species